CGCCAGGUUUCUCUGUCCAUGGGAUUUUCCCAGGCAAGAAUACUGAAGUGGGUUUUCAUUUCCUUUUCCAGGGAAUCUUCCCAACCCAGGGAUCAAACUCUUGUUUCCUGCCUCUCCUGCUUUGCAGCCGCUGGAGAAGCCCUUGGUGUUGAUUGUUGAGGGUGCCCCUUCUGCUGUCUUUCUGCACCUGCCUGCAGCCACACUCCACAGGAAGACUCUGUGCACAGCUGGAAAGAUCCCCCUGGAAACAGUGCCCGCUGAAGAUUAUAGCCCCACCCCACCUCACAUCAUCCAGCAGCCUGGACCCUGCCAAAUUCAAGAACAAGAGUGAACCCAAGCUGUAAGGACAGAUUAAUACAGAGAAUACUAUUACUGAAGGGCAUCUCUGGUCUAACCAAGUGGCACUAGUGAUAAAGAACCCCCCUGCCAAUGCAGGAGACGUAAGAGACAUGGGUUUGAUCCCUGGGUUAGGAAGAUCCCGUGGAGGAGCACAUGGCAACCCACUCCAGUAUUCUUCUCAGGAGAAUCCCACAAACCAAGGGAGGAGCCUGCUGGGCUACAGUGCAUGGGGUCACAUGGAACCAGACACAACUGUAGUGACUUAGCACAUAUGCAUCCCUGGUCUGAACUUCAAGAAGAUCAAGUUAGCAUCCAGGCAUCUGUCGAGAGUCAGGAAGGGAAUGAAUUCUCCUGGCCUCACUCCUGGAUCAGAAACUCGAGCACCACGUCUUUGACCUUCCUACUCCCUCUCCUUCGAACAGCAGCUCUUCUCUUGAUCUGACCCCAGAAAAAAAUCAUCUGGAUUUUGUCCCCUGGGUCCCAUCUCCCCACAGCUGUUCUUCAGAUUCUCAUCAUCUCC
rnacentral:lncRNA from 1 species